rnacentral:misc_RNA from 1 species
GAAAUGCGAUAAGUAAUGUGAAUUGCAGAAUUCAGUGAAUCAUCGAAUCUUUGAACGCACAUUGCGCCCGCCAGUAUUCUGGCGGGCAUGCCUGUUCGAGCGUCAUUUCAACCAUCAAGCCCCCGGCUUGUGUUGGGGACCUGCGGCUGCCCGCAGGCCCUGAAAAACAGUGGCGGGCUCGCUGUCACACCGAGCGUAGUAGCAUACAUUCUCGCUCAGGGCGUGCUGCGGGUUCCGGCCGUUAAACGACCUUCAUAACCCAAGGUUGACCUCGGAUCAGGUAGGAAGACCCGCUGAACUUACGC